UGGUGGGUAGUUUGACUGGGGCGGUCUCCUCCUAAAGAGUAACGGAGGAGCACGAAGGUUGGCUAAUCCUGGUCGGACAUCAGGAGGUUAGUGCAAUGGCAUAAGCCAGCUUGACUGCGAGCGUGACGGCGCGAGCAGGUGCGAAAGCAGGUCAUAGUGAUCCGGUGGUUCUGAAUGGAAGGGCCAUCGCUCAACGGAUAAAAGGUACUCCGGGGAUAACAGGCUGAUACCGCCCAAGAGUUCAUAUCGACGGCGGUGUUUGGCACCUCGAUGUCGGCUCAUCACAUCCUGGGGCUGAAGUAGGUCCCAAGGGUAUGGCUGUUCGCCAUUUAAAGUGGUACGCGAGCUGGGUUUAGAACGUCGUGAGACAGUUCGGUCCCUAUCUGCCGUGGGCGCUGGAGAACUGAGGGGGGCUGCUCCUAGUACGAGAGGACCGGAGUGGACGCAUCACUGGUGUUCGGGUUGUCAUGCCAAUGGCACUGCCCGGUAGCUAAAUGCGGAAGAGAUAAGUGCUGAAAGCAUCUAAGCACGAAACUUGCCCCGAGAUGAGUUCUCCCUGAGACUUUAAGUCUCCUGAAGGAACGUUGAAGACGACGACGUUGAUAGGCCGGGUGUGUAAGCGCAGCGAUGCGUUGAGCUAACCGGUAC
rnacentral:rRNA from 1 species